AAGUGAGAAGCAACAAUUGCAAUCAGUUUCGACCUGAUCUUAGAUAGUUAUACCUAUCCUCACUAU
rnacentral:tRNA from 1 species